rnacentral:rRNA from 1 species
AUUGAACGCUGGCGGCAGGCUUAACACAUGCAAGUCGAGCGAGCGGCGGACGGGUGAGUAAUGUCUGGGAAACUGCCUGAUGGAGGGGGAUAACUACUGGAAACGGUAGCUAAUACCGCAUACCAUCAGAUGUGCCCAGAUGGGAUUAGCUAGUAGGUGGGGUAAUGGCUCACCUAGGCGACGAUCCCUAGCUGGUCUGAGAGGAUGACAGGCCACACGGUAACGGGAACACGGCCCAGACUCCACGGGGAGGCAGCGGGGGGGAAUAUUGCACAAUGGGGGCAACCCUGCUGCAGCCAUGCCGGGUGUGUGAAGAGGGCCUUCGGGUUGUAAAGCACGUUCAGCGAGGAGGCGUUACUCGCGGAAGAAGCACCGGCUAACUCCGUGCCAGAGCCGCGGUAAUAC